GACGAACGCUGGCAGCGUGCUUAACACAUGCAAGUCGAACGGAAAGGCCCUGCUUUUGUGGGGUGCUCGAGUGGCGAAUGGGUGAGUAACACGUGAGUAACCUGCCCUUGACUUUGGGAUAACUUCAGGAAACUGGGGCUAAUACCGGAUAGGAGCUCCUGCUGCAUGGUGGGGGUUGGAAAGUUUCGGCGGUUGGGGAUGGACUCGCGGCUUAUCAGCUUGUUGGUGGGGUAGUGGCUUACCAAGGCUUUGACGGGUAGCCGGCCUGAGAGGGUGACCGGCCACAUUGGGACUGAGAUACGGCCCAGACUCCUACGGGAGGCAGCAGUGGGGAAUAUUGCACAAUGGGCGGAAGCCUGAUGCAGCAACGCCGCGUGCGGGAUGACGGCCUUCGGGUUGUAAACCGCUUUCGCCUGUGACGAAGCGUGAGUGACGGUAAUGGGUAAAGAAGCACCGGCUAACUACGUG
rnacentral:rRNA from 1 species